rfam:Dictyocaulus viviparus strain HannoverDv2000 D_viviparus-1.0_Cont24.39, whole genome shotgun sequence.
GUCUCGGUAAUGUAAUGCAUCAGCACGGCAGAAUGGAUAUCUGUAAGUACGGGUUCGAGUCCCGCCUGAGGUU